AACAGAUUUUUUGUUUGGGGAAUCUUGGAGUGUUAUGAUUCAAACGAACUGAGGAGCUGUUUCUGCAUGGACAGGACGUACUUCUGGACGGUGAUAGCGACUCUGACUGGGAGCCCCCGGUGCCCGCUCUACCUGUGCCCCCAGUGGUGUUCAUAUGCCACAGUUCAUUACUGCAGGCAUGACUGUGCCUCAGGGCCAAAAGGGCACAGCAUGGAGGCGUUGUGUUCUGUGUCGCAUGAAAUGCACCACUUGUUCAGUUUGCCUCUGCUUUAUAUCAGAAAGAGACUGCUAUGGCAGCAAAAUAUUAUGACGGGGACUUCCAAGGGGUGUACUGUUAUUUUAAAUGAAAUAUAUUUAUAUAUAUAUAUAUAUAUUUAAACAUUUUUUUGUGUGUGUUAGAAUUGCUUUUUGAUAUGUUGUAUAUAGUUAUUUGCUCUGCUGUAUAUAGUUAUAGGUCAUUUCACCAAUUCGGCCACUUGGGUACAUUUGGGCAACUUGUGUGGGACACCUGGGUGACUUCAUGCUAAAUGUCAUGUAGCUCACCCAUUCCUGAAGUUAUCAGUCUGAAACUUUGCACACAUACAGUUUCCCUCUUGUGUUAUCCAUCAAAAUUAUCUUCAGCAUCCUAUCUGACUGUGUGGCUAUUCUAGUACAUGUGAAAGAUGAUACUACAACAAUAAAAAACAGAAAACGUA